CUUAUUCUGAUGAUAUCUUAAGAUAGGGACAUCUGAUCUUCAUGAUUGAUUUAUCUUGAUAGUAGAACUGAUUAC